rnacentral:rRNA from 1 species
UACAGAGGUCUCAAGCGUUGUUCGGAUUCAUUGGGCGUAAAGGGUGCGUAGGCGGCGAGGCAAGUCUGGUGUGAAAUCCCCGGGCUCAACCCGGGAACUGCGUCCGAUACUGGAAGGCUUGAAUCCGGGAGAGGGAUGCGGAAUUCCAGGUGUAGCGGUGAAAUGCGUAGAUAUCUGGAGGAACACCGGUGGCGAAGGCGGCAUCCUGGACCAAUAUUGACGCUGAGGAGCGAAAGCCAGGGGAGCAAACGGG